rnacentral:rRNA from 1 species
ACUCAAAUGAAUUGACGGGGACCCGCACAAGCGGUGGAGCGUGUUGUUUAAUUCGAUGGUAAACGAAGAACCUUACCCAGGUUUGACAUCCUUGGAAUUUUGCCGAAAGGCGAGAGUGCUUUAUUGAGCCAAGUGACAGGUGAUGCAUGGCCGUCGUCAGCUCGUGUCGUGAGAUGUUUGGUUAAGUCCAUCAACGAGCGCAACCCUUAUAGUCUGUUGUAUUUCUCAGGCUAGACUGCCCUGGUAACAGGGAGGAAGGGGGGGAUGAUGUCAGGUCAGUAUUUCCCUUACAUCUGGGGCUACAAACACGCUACAAUGGCCGGUACAAAGGGCUGCCAAGUCGCGAGACGGAGCAAAUCCCAUCAAAACCGGUCUCAGUUCGGAUUGGAGGCUGAAACUCGCCUCCAUGAAGCCGGAAUCGCUAGUAAAGGUAGGUCAGCUAUACUACCUUGAAUACGUUCCCGGGUCUUGUACACACCGCCCGU